GGAUUUCGGUUGAGAACGGCCGGUCCGCCGUUUGGUGUGCACUGGCUGGUCUCAACUUCCUGUAGAGGACGCGCUCUGGGUUAACGCUCGGACGCGGAGUCUACGUGGUUACUUUGAAAAAAUUAGAGUGUUCAAAGCGGGCUUACGCUUGAAUAUUUCAGCAUGGAAUAACACUAUAGGACUCCUGUCCUAUUUCGUUGGUCUCGGGACGGGAGUAAUGAUUAAGAGGAACAGUUGGGGGCAUUCGUAUUUCAUUGUCAGAGGUGAAAUUCUUGGAUUUAUGAAAGACGAACUUCUGCGAAAGCAUUUGCCAAGGAUGUUUUCAUUAAUCAAGAACGAAAGUUGGGGGCUCGAAGAUGAUUAGAUACCAUCCUAGUCUCAACCAUAAACGAUGCCGACUAGGGAUUGCAGGAUGUUAAUUGAUGACUCCUGCAGCACCUUAUGAGAAAUCAAAGUUUUUGGGUUCCGGGGGGGAGUAUGGUCGCAAGGCUGAAACUU
rnacentral:rRNA from 1 species